GGUGUGUCUGCACGGAGGACUUUACCAGGUCCAUUGGUGGAUGUUGCACGCAGGCCCAGCUUCCGUCGCAGGGGUCCCCUGAGAAUGGAGAAGAAACUUAGAGGAGACACUAAGUCCCUGGAGGCAUCCAAGCACAUGGAGAAUAUGCUGAGUGAUCUGGAGAGACGUGAUGCAGCCGGCCCCACAACACGUGCUGACAACAUCUGGGAAAGCACGAGAAGAGUUUUCUGCUGGGGAACACCGUGUUUGAAGAUGAUGGCCAUUGUGGCUGGUGCUGCACUUUGCCUGAUGAUGUGCUGUGCCGCAAUCUGGUAUUGCUGGAAGAGAAACUGGCGUCUCAUUGAAGAAAAACUGAAAGCUGCUGGCUGGACACAAGAUCUCUACUGCUGGAAGAGCCACAGCAGCUUGUCUGAUUCGGACGAGUUUUCAUUUUACCACUUCCCAGCUCUACGGUGAUUUGAGGCCCCCUCCUUCCACGGCUGAAUGUGAAAGCCCCCAGGAAAGGCUGUGGGAAGUUCUCAAGUGAAUAUUGACUGAGAGCUUCCAAAAUCAUCUUCCAAAUUUUAAAAAUAGUUUUAGAAUCCUGUUAAGGCAACCUUAUUUUCUAUCCGCUUUUCAUUUUUAGAAAUAUUUAGAAAUAUUUCUUGUAGAGACAAAUCCCCAAUGUUUCUUCCCCGCUUCCACAGUAGUGUUUUUGAAAGUAGUGUUAC